GCUGGGCGUGGUGGCACACACCUGUAAUCCCAGGGGCUGGGGAGGCUGAGACAGGAGAAUUGCAAGUUAAAGGCCAGCCUCAGCAAUGGUGAGGCACUAAGCAACUCAGUGAGAUCCUGUCUCUA
rnacentral:sRNA from 1 species